rnacentral:rRNA from 1 species
CUCCUACGGGUGGCAGCAGUGAGGAAUAUUGGUCAAUGGACGGAAGUCUGAACCAGCCAUGCCGCGUGAAGGAUGAAGGCGUUCUGCGUUGUAAACUUCUUUUAUCAGGGAAGAAACCACAGAUUUCUAUUUGUGUUGACGGUACCUGAGGAAUAAGCACCGGCUAACUCCGUGCCAGCAGCCGCGGUAAUACGGAGGGUGCAAGCGUUAUCCGGAUUUACUGGGUUUAAAGGGUGUGUAGGCGGGCAUUUAAGUCUGGGGUGAAAUCUCCGAGCUCAACUCGGAAACUGCCUUGGAUACUAUUUGUCUUGAAUUAUGUUGAGGUAGGCGGAAUAUAACAUGUAGCGGUGAAAUGCAUAGAUAUGUUAUAGAACACCGAUUGCGAAGGCAGCUUACUAAACAUAUAUUGACGCUGAGGCACGAAAGCGUGGGGAUCAAACAGGAUUAGAUACCCUGGUAGUCCACGCCCUAAACGAUGAUUACUCGUCAUACGUGAUACACAAUGUGUGACCAAGCGAAAGCGUUAA